rnacentral:rRNA from 1 species
ACUGAGGAUAAUACCCCAUAGCCCUGGGAUGCUGGAAUGCACCCAGGGUGAAAGCCCCGGCGUCUGAGGAUGCAUCUGCGGCCUAUCAGGUUGUAGUGGGGAUAAAGGCCCCACUAGCCGACGACGGGUACGGGCCUUGAGAGAGGGAGCCCGGAGAUGGACUCUGAGACACGAGUCCAGGCCCUACGGGGCGCAGCAGGCGCGAAAACUACGCAAUGCACGAAAGUGCGACGUGGGAACUCCAAGUGCUCAUGCGUUUCGACGUGUGGGCUUUUCUCAAGUGUAAAUAACUUGAGGAAUAAGGGCUGGGUAAGACCGGUGCCAGCCGCCGCGGUAAUACCGGCGGCCCAAGUGGCGAUCGUUAUUAUUGGGUCUAAAGCGUCCGUAGCCGGCCGGGUAAAUCCUUAGAUAAAUCGAACAGCUCAACUGUUCGGCUUCUUGGGAGACUGCUCGGCUUGAAACCGGGAGAGGUCAGAGGUACUCUUGGGGUAGGGGUGAAAUCCUGUAAUCCUGAGGGGACCACCAGUGGCGAAGGCGUCUGACUUGAACGGCUUUGACGGUGAGGGACGAAGGCCAGGGGCGCAAACCGGAUUAGAUACCCGGGUAGUCCUGGCUGUAAACGCUGCGGGCUUGGUGUUGGGGGUCCCACGAGGGCACCCAGUGCCGGAGAGAAGUUGUUAAGCCCGCCACCUGGGGAGUACGGCCGCAAGGCUGAAACUUAAAGGAAUUGGCGGGGGAGCACUACAACGGGUGGAGCCUGCGGUUUAAUUGUCAUAGCAUGUUUUCCUGAUGAA